GUUAAUAUCUGUGUCUUUGGGUUCGGCAAUUUUUCGUGCAUUAGAAGUUUUAGUUACCAUUCAUUGACAUGAUCCGGACCAACGGUAUGAACCAAUCCAGGAAUUCCCAAUUGCAAAUGAGGUCCUCCUCACCACCCCAACUGCUGCUGAGGUCACCGAACGUUCUGCCUGGGUUCAUCUCCAUCAUUGCAAGUUCAUCACAUGAGCC